GGUUUCCUACGGGGCGCAGCAGUAGGGAAUCUUCCACAAUGGGCGAAAGCCUGAUGGAGCAACGCCGCGUGGGUGAAGAAGGUCUUCGGAUCGUAAAACUCUGUUGUUAGAGAAGAAAGUGUGUGAGAGUAACUGUUCACGUUUCGACGGUAUCUAACCAGAAAGCCACGGCUAACUACGUGCCAGCAGCCGCGGUAAUACGUAGGUGGCAAGCGUUAUCCGGAUUUAUUGGGCGUAAAGGGAACGCAGGCGGUCUUUUAAGUCUGAUGUGAAAGCCUUCGGCUUAACCGGAGUAGCGCAUUGGG
rnacentral:rRNA from 1 species